AUCUUGGAAAACUCAGGGUGCUGAGUUUGGUAGGGUGCUGAGGAUUGAAUUCUGUAUUACCUGCAUGUGGGGUUAGUGUCACAGCACCAGAUGGUCCCGAUCUCUUAGGACACAGAUAUAUAUGCCACAGGGUCAUAGUGCUGUGACACGUUUACCAGGAAUUUCCAGAUGCUCUGCCACCUGGAUAGGAUUGGAGACUGCUUCUUAGGAAGACAGUGCAAAACCUAGGUGAAGCCUGAGUGUGUCUAGCUAUUUCUGACAUCAGUUCUGUGCUCUGGGCCUGAUUCUUACCCCCACCUCCUUCUGGUUUUGAGACCAUUUCUCAAGUCCCUUCCUCCCCACUUUCUUUUUUCACCCCACACUGCCUUGCCGAGGAACGGGUUUGAGAUUCAAGUGAUGGUAAGUGCCUUGCUCUGUUCACAGUGGGCCAAACGUGAUGGGGUUACACUGAGGAAGUCCUGGGGAAAUGAGGGUAAUUUCCAUUCUCAGACACACAGGAAUUAACCAGAAUGGCCAAACAUCAAUGUCAGGAAGUAAUAGUUGGGCAACAUUUGAGAAUCUUAUUAUGAAACAACCAUCUAGGAAGGAAGAUAUACCCAAACAGCUUGGGUAAACCCGCUGUCUGACCUUAGGGACCUGGGGAUUUCUCUUGGAGAAAGCAAAUGUUUCCAACCUCAUACUUAUUGCAUACCUACUGUGUGCCAGGCACUACUCUACAAUAUUGAGCAAGGUCAGUGUGUGCUGAAUGAACUUUCAGGUCUGAAUGACCAGGAAGAGGCCAGUACCCUGGUGAUACUCUGAAAACAUGAGAUAUAUAGCUCCU
rnacentral:lncRNA from 1 species